UCGGGUUUUCUACCCGCUUGCUGUGACUUACCAAGAUAUAGCAAAACUUUCCAUCGAGGACGAGAGGUUGUUCCAAAGGUUUUGGAACGUUCGUAUCCCAUCACCUCUGGAACGAGGGCUCCGGGUUAUAGCCAUAGAUGACAG